UCCAAGUCCAGAACAGGCAAAUAAGUUUGUGGCUGGAAAUAUUUUGCCAUUUCAGCACACUGUAUUCCUGCAGCUACUGGCUGUUUGGAGAGGAAUAGGAGAGAAGAACAAAGAUGUGUAAUGGGAAUAUCCAGAAAUCCUGGAAUCAAGGACAAUAACAUCAGCCUUUCCCUUUUUGGAAUAUGUCAAGAAUAAAAAUCCAUUUUGACCAACACAAUUGUGCCCUACAUACAGUAAAGAAGCUGUGAUCUUCAGCUGGCAGAAGGAUGCCUCUAAUCAGGUCUGUCAAAUC
rnacentral:lncRNA from 12 species